CUAUGUGUUGUCACACACAAUUGCUGGGGUAGUUCAGCACUGUCCAAGUGACCCCCUGGGAGAGGACAACUGGAAAUGUAUGCCUGGUGUUUUCCUGGACCCCGACCUACGCAGCCUUUUCCUUGGCUAAUCCUAAUCUGUCUCCUUUUGCUGAAAUGAACCAUAAGCAUGAGUAUAACAGCUUUUCUGAUUUUUGUGAGUCCCUCAAGUGAAUCAUCAAACCUAAGGUAGUCUUGGGACCCCCAUCAAAGAGAGUCAAACAGGAACAGGGCAAGAAGAGCUUUUCCUGGAAGGCUAAUGAGUCUGAACUUCGCCCUGGAGGUAAUCGUUAGAGUAACUCCAGGCUCUAACCUGGAGCUGGCAUGACAAGGCCAAAUGUACACUUCUAGAAGAUACUUUGGACUGCACUGGGGAAUGAAUAGGGGAGCUGGGGGAGCAGAGCUGAAGCAGGGAGACCACGACCUAUGAGGAGACAGCUGAUCGAGUCCAGAAUCACAAGAAAGGCAUCAGCACCUUCUGUGAAAUGGGAGCCAGGAGGAGGAGAUGCCCAGGUGUCUAGGAGUCCAUGUCAGCUGCUGUCCCUCCACACCACCGAGCAGACAUCACAAAGAGUGGCUAGGCCUUCUGAGUGAAGGUGAUCCAACCUGUCACUAAGCCUAAGGGCAAAUCCUGGCUGUGCUGUGGUGACUCCAACAACCCCAAACAGCAGCUCAGAGGCUGCAGCCGCCCUCGGAGGCAUCACUGGGAAAUGCUCAUUAAGUAUUGCUCACCCGCCCCAUCCCAUCUCUGCGCAUCCCAAACCAUCAGCCAAGUGCACAGCUGGCUUCCAUCCUCAGAGCCUUCCUCCUUCAUUUGCCUAUUCAACAGUUACAAAGGCCUGAGCUGCAGAGGGGCCUUGAAAAACCCAUUCUACCCAGAAGAAAGAGAACUGAGAGUAAGCAAGACAGAGAACAGGUAGAAGCAGGGAGGAAAACAAGCCAUCUCUAGAUCUCAAAUGGGGACCCUGCUGUAGCAAGAGACUCUUCUAAAUCCUUUUCCAAUAGGGUAAUAUGGAAAAUGGUUGAAAGUACAAGCCAACUGGGGCUUGAAUCCCAAAUGGGCCAUUUACAGCUGUGUGACUGAACAAGUAAUUUCAUAUUUCUGAGCCUCAGUUUUCUCAUCUAUAAAAUAGAAAAAUACCUAUGUCGUAAGGUUAAGAUAUGGAUUAGAUGAGCUAAGAUCUAAAAUGUCUUCUAUUCAGUAAGUGCUCAAUAAAUGUUAUCUCUUUUUA